GACGAACGCUGGCGGCGUGCUUAACACAUGCAAGUCGAACGCUGAAGCUUGGUGCUUGCACUGUGUGGAUGAGUGGCGAACGGGUGAGUAAUACGUGAGUAACCUGCCCUUGACUCUGGGAUAAGCCUGGGAAACUGGGUCUAAUACUGGAUACGACAUGUCACCGCAUGGUGGUGUGUGGAAAGGGUUUUACUGGUUUUGGAUGGGCUCACGGCCUAUCAGCUUGUUGGUGGGGUAAUGGCUCACCAAGGCGACGACGGGUAGCCGGCCUGAGAGGGUGACCGGCCACACUGGGACUGAGACACGGCCCAGACUCCUACGGGAGGCAGCAGUGGGGAAUAUUGCACAAUGGGCGGAAGCCUGAUGCAGCGACGCCGCGUGAGGGAUGACGGCCUUCGGGUUGUAAACCUCUUUCAGCACGGAAGAAGCGAAAGUGACGGUACGUGCAGAAGAAGCGCCGGCUAACUACGUG
rnacentral:rRNA from 1 species